CCUACGGGUGGCAGCAGUCGAGAAUCAUUCUCAAUGGGCGAAAGGCUGAUGCUGCCACGCCGCGUGGGGGACUGAAGUUCCUAGGAUUGUAAACUUCUGUUAUGUGGGAGCAAAUUCAGACGAUAGUACCACAAGAAAAAGCAUUGGCUAAAUCCGUGCCAGUAGCCGAGGUAAUACGGGGGAUGUGAGCGUUAUCCGGAUUUAUUGGGUCUAAUGGGUGCGUAGGCGGUCGGGAAAGUCAGCGGUAAAAGCCCGGGGCUCAACCCCGGCGAGCCGUUGAAACUGUCGGACUAGAGAGGGCGAGAGGUACGCGGAAUGCGCAGUGUAGCGGUGAAAUGCAUAGAUAUCGCGCAGAACUCCGAUUGCGAAGGCAGCAUACCGGCGCCGGACUGACGCUGAGGCACGAAAGCGUGGGUAUCGAACAGGAUUAGAUACCCUUGUAGUC
rnacentral:rRNA from 1 species